rnacentral:tRNA from 1 species
UGGGGUGGGGCUCAUUGGUAGAGUGUUUGCCUCCUGUGCAGGAGGUCCUGAGCUUGAUCCCCAGCACCACAU